UCCUCCUGCCUCAGCUUCCCAAAGUGCUUGGAUUACAAAUGUGAAUCACCACACCUGGCCAGUACUUUUUUAAUUGAGUGGUAGCUACAUGAACAUGAUUGCUUUACAAAAUUCACUGAGCUGGCCGGGCACGGUGGCUCAUGCCUGUAAUCUCAGCACUUUGGGAGGCUGAGGUGGGAGGAUGAUCAGUUGAGCCCAGGAAGCCGAGGCUGCAGUGAGGCAAGAUCGUGCCACUGCACUCCAGCCUGGGUGACAGAUCAAGACCGUCUCAAAUAAUAAAUUAAAGGAUGACUAGGAGUUAACUAAAUAGGGAAGGAAGCACAUUCCAGGAAAAGAAAACAGCAGUGCAAAGGCCUCUGGCAGAAACAAACAUGGUCAGUUCUCAAGCCUGCAAUCAGCCAGUGAGCCUCUAGUGCAGAGGCCAAGGAGUGUGGUAAGAAAUGAAAAAGGGAAGUGGGAGCCAGACAAUGCAGGACCAUGUAGGCUGUAUCAGGGAGUUUUGUUUCUAUCACAAGAGCAACAGAAAGCUACUAAUGGGCUUUAAAGCAAGAGGUCGUGACAGGAUCGGAGCUGUGUUUUGGACAAAACCCUCAGGUGGUUCUGAUGGAAUGGUGUGAAUAGAUUAAAAGAAGCCAAAGUAGGAAUAGGAAGAAUAUUCAAGAAGCUACUCUCAUUUCCAGACAGGAAACGACAGUAGCAUUGGACCAGAGUGGUCCCAACAUUCCAGAAGCCCAGUAGGAGAGUUCUCACUGUUCAUUAUGA
rnacentral:lncRNA from 10 species